CCUACGGGUGGCAGCAGUGAGGAAUAUUGGUCAAUGGCCGAGAGGCUGAACCAGCCAAGUCGCGUGAGGGAAGACUGCCCUACGGGUUGUAAACUUCUUUUGUCGAGGAGUAAAGAGAGGCACGUGUGCCUCAUUGAGAGUAUUCUAUGAAUAAGCAUCGGCUAACUCCGUGCCAGCAGCCGCGGUAAUACGGAGGAUCCGAGCGUUAUCCGGAUUUAUUGGGUUUAAAGGGGGCGUAGGGGGGUGGUUAAGUCAGUGGUUAAAAUUCGGGGCUCAACCCCAGAACUGCAGUUGAAACUGGAUGCCUUGAGUACGGGUGAGGUAGGCGGAAUGCGUGGUGUAGCGGUGAAAUGCAUAGAUAUCACGAAGAACUCCGAUUGCGAAGGCAGCCUAC
rnacentral:rRNA from 1 species